rnacentral:rRNA from 1 species
GACGAACGCUGGCGGCGUGCUUAACACAUGCAAGUCGAACGGAAAGGCCCUGCUUUUGUGGGGUGCUCGAGUGGCGAACGGGUGAGUAACACGUGAGUAACCUGCCCUUGACUUUGGGAUAACUUCAGGAAACUGGGGCUAAUACCGGAUAGGAGCUCCUGCUGCAUGGUGGGGGUUGGAAAGUUUCGGCGGUUGGGGAUGGACUCGCGGCUUAUCAGCUUGUUGGUGGGGUAGUGGCUUACCAAGGCUUUGACGGGUAGCCGGCCUGAGAGGGUGACCGGCCACAUUGGGACUGAGAUACGGCCCAGACUCCUACGGGAGGCAGCAGUGGGGAAUAUUGCACAAUGGGCGGAAGCCUGAUGCAGAAACGCCGCGUGCGGGAUGACGGCCUUCGGGUGGUAAACCGCUUUCGCCUGUGACGAAGCGUGAGUGACGGUAAUGGGUAAAGAAACACCGGCUAACUACGU